GACGAACGCUGGCGGCGUGCUUAACACAUGCAAGUCGAACGGAGUGGCGAACGGGUGAGUAACACGUGGGUGAUCUGCCUUGCACUUCGGGAUAAGCUUGGGAAACUUGGUCUAAUACCGGAUAGUGCAAGAUGAGCUCGCUGCCUAUCAGCUUGUUGGUGGGGUAAUGGCCUACCAAGGCGUGGACGGGGAGCCGGCCUGGGAGGGUGUACGGCCUCAGUGGGACGUAGAUACGGCCCAGACUCCAACGGGAGGCAGCAGUGGGGAAUAUUGCACAAUGGGCGGAAGCCUGAUGCAGCGGCGUCGCGUGGGGUAUGAAGGCCUUCGGGUUGUAAACUCCUGUCGGCAGGGACGCGGUACCUGUAUAAGAAGCACCGGCUAACUACGUGCCAGCAGCGGCGGUAGUUC
rnacentral:rRNA from 1 species